CAUUAGAAAUCAAACAUCCGUCGAUAAAUAUAAAAAUAUUAAACAUUGUAUACAAAAACUAUUUAUGCAAUUAUCCCAUUAUCAAAUUAUUCAAAACGCGAAUCGAUACUUAAAUCAUAAUUUUUCGAAAUUUUAUACACGUAAUUUUACUGUAUUUUAUGUCAAAUCGGAGAUGUUUCAUAGGAUUAUUGCGUGACAUAAAACAUCCGUCGACGAAUAUUGUUCUUCGUCUACAAAAUGCAAAACUGUAUAUGCUAAUGAAUUUUAUGAUUGGUAGGAGCGACAAAUUUUCUAACUCGUACUUGAAUUAUGCGAGUGAAUCGAGUAAUAUAACCUCAAGUUUUAUUCACAGUAAUAGGCGUAUAACUGCCAUGUUAGUCGAAGCGUAGAGUGGAGAAACGUCGUUGUCGCUAAAAUUUUCCGUGUGGACCAAAUAAUAAUUAGUUUGGAGAAAUUUUAGAUAUUCUCACUAAUCUCCGGUCGCUUUCAAUUACUUGGCUGUGGCCUAGUAAAAUGUAAUCUGCAGGAAUUAAUGGAAAAAUCUCUCCGUGACUCAGUCAUUUCAUCCAGUCGUAAAUAUAGAAUGUAGUGACUUUAAAACCUUAUCUCAUUCUACAUAACUGCAAACAGUAGUUGGAAUUAAUUAGUUUGUUCUAAAUCCCAGGAGAAAAUGACCGAGUCUUAGCGACAGGUCACGUCUGGUAUCCAGUACUGAAUAGUCGGCUGAAAAGGAAAGGAAAAAACCUUGUCUGUUCAUUCAACAGGUUGCCAUAGCAACAAGCUGCUUCUCUAGCCGAGCCGGCGACACCUCUCCGCCUAGCAAUACUGAGCGCUAAAAAUACUCUUCUCUGCAGGUUCCCGGGCGUUGCAAAUUGUGCAGCUCUAAAUAUUAUCAUGGAUGCCUCUUCCUAAACUCUCCUCCGUCAUUUUUCAUUGCUUGUAGUAAUAAUAAUUAGGUGAAGAUUCCAAAUAUUGAUUCCACAGUUUAUAUGGAGUGCGUAUGCUUUUCUAUUUUUAAACUAACUUUUAAAUAUUAAAUAUUUUGUAAUUUAUAACGAUCGAUAUUUUUUUUUUAUUUUUUAUAAUAAUAAUUUUAUCUAUAUAUAAACGCGCC
rnacentral:lncRNA from 1 species